AGCGAGCAAGCUAGGUACUACUGACGUCACAAACCAGCGCAUGUAAGCAACAAUGCCUACUGUUGGGGAGAUGUAUUGGUGCUGGACAAUUAGCCUACUAGUCAUUUUUGCAGUGACCACUUAGUGAUUGCAGGAAACAUAGCUAACUACAUCUGCAAGAUCAUCAUUUGUUCAGCAGCUGUGUUGCAGUUUUGGUUUCCCCAGAAAUGGUACCCUCUCUAGUUCUGUUGUGAUUCCUCUCUCUCUCCUCCAGGGGGACUCUGGUCCUGUGUAUGACAACGUCUCAGCCAUCGCCCUGAACCCUGUCCCUGCUGUCCAGACACACACACACACAGACACACACACAGACACACACACAGGCCAGCAGAAUGACGUACACUACGCCAGCGUCGACUACUCUCGCUCCAAGACCCAGGACGUCCCCCUCUACUCCACCAUCCAAUCAGUGCAGCCCCAGAACCAGGAAGAGGAUGUGCAGUACGCUGCUGUGCAGUUCAACCGGCCCAGUCCUGCCCCCCGAGUCGCUGUUCAGACCACCGAGGAUCCCUCUGCUCUCCACAGCACCGUCCCCAAACCCAAGCGCUGACAUCACUCAAAUAUGCUCAAACUGCAUGAACACAAAGGAACACACACACAAUAUGACCAUACAAUCUUUAAAAUCAAAAACGUGUUAGGAUGGUUUCUGGGGACUGUAAUCUAACGGGGACAUGAAAACAUGUCCCCAUAUCUCCCCAAAAGUACUCAGAUUCAGUCAACGUUGUCCACAAGUGACUUUAUGGUCAAAACUUGACAUUUAGAUUUUUCUAAAAAGUAAAACAAUCACUAAAACAAAGUAAUAAAACGAAAUAAAAUGAUCUAUUAGCUAAUGAUAUUUGGAUAUUUAUUUAGUAUUUUUGAGUGUUUUACUGAUUUACAAACAUUAGUAUUUUCUUAAAUAUUUUGUUGUUUCCAGUUUUUCCAGUUUGUUUUUUUCUUCAUAUUGUUAAUUAUUGUCUUUUUUCCUCUUUUUUCCCCCUCAUCUCCUCCACACCACCCUGCUGUCAUGGUAACAAUAUUUGGUGCUGGAAAAGUCCUGUUUAAGGCAAAAUCCAAC